GAUUUUGUGGUUGAUUAAGGGUUAAGGUUAGGGUUAGGUGUAGGGUUAGAUUUUAUGGUUGAUUAAGGGUUAAGGUUAGGGUUAGGUUUAGGGUUAGAUUUUGUGGUUGAUUAAGGGUUAAGGUUAGGGUUAGGUGUAGGGUUAGAUUUUAUGGUUGAUUAAGGGUUAAGGUUAGGGUUAGGUGUAGGGUUUGAUUUUAGGGUUGAUUAAGGGUUAAGGUUAGGGUUAGAUUUUAUGGUUGAUUAAGGGUUAAGGUUAGGGUUAGGUGUAGGGUUAGAUUUUAGAGUUGAUUAAGGGUUAAGGUUAGGGUUAGGUGUAGGGUUAGAUUUUAGGGUUGAUUAAUGGUUAAGGUUAGGGUUAGGUGUAGGGUUUGAUUUUAGGGUUGAUUAAGGGUUAAGGUUAGGGUUAGAUUUUAUGGUUGAUUAAGGGUUAAGGUUAGGGUUAGGUGUAGGGUUAGAUUUUAUGGUUGAUUAAAGGUUAAGGUUAGGGUUAGGUGUAGGGUUAGAUUUUAGGGUUGAUUAAGGGUUAAGGUUAGGGUUAGGUGUAGGGUUAGAUUUUAGGGUUGAUUAAGGGUUAAGGUUAGGGUUAGAUUUUAUGGUUGAUUAAGGGUAAAGGUUAGGGUUAGGUGUAGGGUUAGAUUUUAUGGUUGAUUAAGGGUUAAGGUUAGGGUUAGGUGUAGGGUUAGAUUUUAGGGUUGAUUAAGGGUUAAGGUUAGGGUUAGGUGUAGGGUUAGAUUUUAGGGUUGAUUAAGGGUUAAGGUUAGGGUUAGAUUUUAUGGUUGAUUAAAGGUUAAGGUUAGGGUUAGGUGUAGGGUUAGAUUUUAUGGUUGAUUAAGGGUUAAGGUUAGGGUUAGGUGUAGGGUUAGAUUUUAGGGUUGAUUAAGGGUUAAGGUUAGGGUUAGAUUUUAUGGUUGAUUAAGGGUUAAGGUUAGGGUUAGGUGUAGGGUUAGAUUUUAGGGUUGAUUAAGGGUUAAGGUUAGGGUUAGGUGUAGGGUUAGAUUUUGUGGUUGAUUAAGGGUUAAGGUUAGGGUUAGGUUUAGGGUUAGAUUUUGUGGUUGAUUAAGGGUUAAGGUUAGGGUUAGGUGUAGGGUUAGAUUUUAUGGUUGAUUAAAGGUUAAGGUUAGGGUUAGGUGUAGGGUUAGAUUUUAUGGUUGAUUAAAGGUUAAGGUUAGGGUUAGGUGUAGGGUUAGAUUUUAGGGUUGAUUAAGGGUUAAGGUUAGGGUUAGGUGUAGGGUUAGAUUUUAGGGUUGAUUAAGGGUUAAGGUUAGGGUUAGAUUUUAUGGUUGAUUAAGGGUAAAGGUUAGGGUUAGGUGUAGGGUUAGAUUUUAUGGUUGAUUAAGGGUUAAGGUUAGGGUUAGGUGUAGGGUUAGAUUUUAGGGUUGAUUAAGGGUUAAGGUUAGGGUUAGGUGUAGGGUUAGAUUUUAGGGUUGAUUAAGGGUUAAGGUUAGGGUUAGAUUUUAUGGUUGAUUAAAGGUUAAGGUUAGGGUUAGGUGUAGGGUUAGAUUUUAUGGUUGAUUAAGGGUUAAGGUUAGGGUUAGGUGUAGGGUUAGAUUUUAGGGUUGAUUAAGGGUUAAGGUUAGGGUUAGAUUUUAUGGUUGAUUAAGGGUUAAGGUUAGGGUUAGAUUUUAUGGUUGAUUAAGGGUUAAGGUUAGGGUUAGGUGUAGGGUUAGAUUUUAUGGUUGAUUAAGGGUUAAGGUUAGGGUUAGGUGUAGGGUUAGAUUUUAGGGUUGAUUAAGGGUUAAGGUUAGGGUUAGAUUUUAGAGUUGAUUAAGGGUUAAGGUUAGGGUUAGGUGUAGGGUUAGAUUUUAGGGUUGAUUAAUGGUUAAGGUUAGGGUUAGGUGUAGGGUUUGAUUUUAGGGUUGAUUAAGGGUUAAGGUUAGGGUUAGAUUUUAUGGUUGAUUAAGGGUUAAGGUUAGGGUUAGGUGUAGGGUUAGAUUUUAUUGUUGAUUAAUGGUUAAGGUUAGGUGUAGGGUUUGAUUUUAGGGUUGAUUAAGGGUUAAGGUUA